rnacentral:lncRNA from 1 species
CUCAAUCUCUAGAGGUCCUUCCCAACCCCUGGAAUUCUGUGAUUCAUUUCUUGUCUGCACAAACAGCCCUACAAUUAACCAUAGUGUUACACUCGCUCUGCUGCUUUUAAUCAUGUUUGACCAAUAUACACUCUCUCAGGAAAAACAUGCUCCUUUCUAGAUUCCGGAAACUGAUUGCAGAACUGGUGUUGCUAGUGACCCUGCAGGACUAUGCAGCCUUCAUUUCAGGUGCUGGACACUUGCUCAGAUGGAAGGACUUCGUUCUGGCACUCCCGAUGGCCAGCUUUCAGAGGGACGGACAGAAGCCUUCUUUCCGCUCCUGA